GCAAGUCGAGCGCGCCCUUCGGGGUGAGCGGCGGACGGGUGAGUAACGCGUAGGAACGUGCCCUUUGCUGCGGAAUAGCCACUGGAAACGGUGAGUAAUACCGCAUGAGCCCUUCGGGGGAAAGAUUUAUCGGCAAGGGAUCGGCCCGCGUUGGAUUAGGUAGUUGGUGGGGUAAUGGCCUACCAAGCCGACGAUCCAUAGCUGGUUUCAGAGGAUGAUCAGCCACACUGGGACUGAGACACGGCCCAGACUCCUACGGGAGGCAGCAGUGGGGAAUCUUAGACAAUGGGCGCAAGCCUGAUCUAGCCAUGCCGCGUGAGUGACGAAGGCCCUAGGGUCGUAAAGCUCUUUCGCCUGUGAAGAUAAUGACGGUAGCAGGUAAAGAAACCCCGGCUAACUCCGUGCCAGCAGCCGCGGUAAUACGGAGGGGGUUAGCGUUGUUCGGAAUUACUGGGCGUAAAGCGCGCGUAGGCGGACCAUCAAGUUGGGGGUGAAAUCCCGGGGCUCAACCCCGGAACUGCCUCCAAAACUGGCGGUCUGGAGUUCGAGAGAGGUGAGUGGAAUUCCGAGUGUAGAGGUGAAAUUCGUAGAUAUUCGGAGGAACACCAGUGGCGAAAGCGGCUCACUGGCUCGAGACUGACGCUGAGGUGCGAAAGUGUGGGGAGCAAACAGGAUUAGAUACCCUGGUAGUCCACACCGUAACGAUGAAUGCCAGUCGUCGGCAGCAUGCUUGUCGGUGACACACCUAACGGAUUAGCAUUCGCUGGGGAGUACGCCGCAAGUACACUCAAUGAUUGACGA
rnacentral:rRNA from 1 species